rnacentral:lncRNA from 1 species
AUGGUGACAGAGUGGUCACCCGGGAACCGGAUCUGCGCGGCUCUGUGGCCUAAAGAGGCAGCCGAGCCUGCCUGCGUCCUUAGGCCGCCUUCCAGGGCCCUACACGCCCUAAUGGCCUCCGCCCGCGGCGUUCCAGCGGCCGCCAUGCUUCCCGGCCCGUCACGCCCGCCGCCGCCCAAAGGCGCUGCGUCCCGGCGGCUCUGCCGGGGUUUCAUUGAGGCCCGGCAGGCUUGGGCCGGAAGACCCGGCGGCCGGCCGAGUCCGGGCUGGGAGAGGCCGCCGCCGCCAUCAGUCACCGAGGUGGGGUGGGGAAGAGAGGUUCGCUGCGGCUUCAAGGCCUGGGCACAGCCAGUGGGCAGCCGCAGCAGAGGCCUCCGGUAUCUGCAUAGCACAGGAACCAUCUUCUCCUCUCUGGACCUGCACAGCUAGGACUGCAGUGAACAAAGGAAGAUGCUCCUUCAUGGUUAAACCAGUAGGUGAGGCUGAUGUAUGAUGGUCUUGGUUAUAUAUUCUACAUAGUUGUACAGAACUACUUAAAAAUCUAGUCUUUAUAAAAGUAAUGAUACACCAAAGGCAUUUUAUAAUAAUGCAUGUGGUGUCUGUAAGAACUCUGAAUAUUGGGUGUUUUUUUGAAAAAUGUUCUUCUUGUAAGUUCUGAAUGACAUCUGAGGAUAUAAUAUGUGGGCAUGAACACAGUUCAAUAUCCAACUCCCACCCUUGUUCCUGGAGAAACACACACACACACACAAUGGUUUUCUGGAAAGAUGUCAAAUCUCUGUUGUUGUUAACAGUUUUUCCAUGGAGAAUAGAUUUUAAUUUUUUCUACAUAUAGUUUCCUGUUAUGCCAGGAGAGGAAAUGUUUUCUCUUGUUUCUAGCAAACAGACAUGCAUGGACAAUGGGAAACCAUGUUCGGAAGGGAGGAGGGAACCUUGCUCCCUGGCAGAGAGGACAGCUCAUAUAAGAAUCCUCAGUCCCCCGAUUUUGAUACCCCUUUCUUCCUCUAUGGCCACUUUUAGCGACGUGAUUGCAGUGUUCAUGUCUGGUCAACACCUACAAUGGCUGGCUGUGAAUACCUAAGAAGAAUCACAGCACCAGAUGUGGCAGAAGGAAGAAGAUAUUGAAUUAGAAAUAGUGAUGAUAAUCUCCCGUUUCAAGUACAUUGAUGAAGAUAAAGCACAUUCUUAUGAGAGCCCUGGUAUCUUCCCUUUGGCCAGUAGAAGGAGUGGAGUUGGUAGAACCUGAGACCCAGGAAGGCCUGUGCCCAUCUGGCCAUCCUGACACCAGUUCAGAUCUCUUGCCUUUAACACCUCUUUGCCAUUUUUCCUCUCACCUUAUAGCCUGAUUUAGACUCUAUUGAUGACCAGCUGUGAUGCACCAGCAUAGUUCAUUAUGAUUACAGUAUUUGUUUUCAUGUUUACACUAAUGCAACCAUUAUUUCAGCACAAUGUCUUUCCAUUAUCUUUCUUCUCACCUAAGAAGGGCUUAUUAUUUUCUGGACUCACAGGAGUAACAGAAGCUUUAUGUGUAGCAAGACAAAGCAUCUUAACUGUGACAUGGGAACCUUGAUUAUAUCCAUUAAUAUAUGUCUUGUCAUUGUAUAUGUGUGUCCAUACAUUUUUAUGAUUUUAUUUCCAUUGGACUGGACUAAUUCCUGUUCUUGAACAUGCUUUGGGCAUUCCUACAUCUCUGCCUUCUUUCAUGCAUUCAUUCCACAUCAUCUUCACACUUCCCCAUGGUAAAUGCCCCAACUCCUUCCAUCUAUCUGCAUGUUUUGGAGUAGUUGGGUGGUUUAUUUUUUAUUUUUUAUAUUUUUUCUUAGAGUCCAGUUCUUGCUUGUCACCCAGGCUGGAGUGCAGUGGCAUGAUCAUAGCUCACUACAGCCUCGACUUUCUGAGCUCAAGAGAUCCUAUCGCCUCAGCCUCCUCUGUAGCCAGGACUGUGGGCAUUCACCACCAUUCCGGCUGAUAUUUUUAUUUUUUGUACAGAUGGGGUCUUGCUGUGUUGCCCAGGAUGGUCUUGAAUUCCUGGCCUCAAGCACUCCUCCCACCUUAACCUCCCAAGUGCUUACAAAUGUGAGCCACCAUGACUGACCUAUAUGCAUUUUUUAAAAAAAUUCAAGAUUUAACUGAAAUAUAUUUUGCUAUGACUCCCCUCCCCUUUUCAUCAGUGUCAUCUUUUGUUACUUAGAAAUUGUGUAUACAGUCUGCUAUUUAUUUGACAACUAUACUGCUGUAUACUCUUAGUUUUAUUUUUCUAUGUUUAAGCAUUAACUUUUAAAGUAAAUGUCAUCAAUAGAAUAAUGACCAAACUCUUGGACUUUGGAAAUAGAUUUAGUAUUGAAUCCUGGCUCUUCUGCUUCGUAACUGUACAAUCUCGAAGUCACUUAAUAAUUUCGAAGCUUCAGUUUCCUCAUGUGUAACACAAUCGUGGGAACCAUAAGGUUGUCAUGAGGAUUAAAUAAGAUAAUAUAUGUAAAUGAUUUAGGACAGUGAUUAAGAAUUAGACCUAAUAUUUGCUCAAAACUAUUUUUUCUGAUCUUCUAAAGAAAUUGCUAUGUUCAUAAAUUCAUCAAUCAAAUGGUGCUAGAGUGUUUGGCACAGAAUAUACUAGAUAAGACUAUUUCAAAGUAAAAAACCCUUUUCAUGAAAGACUGACAAUUACAUUCAUAAACAUCAUUCUCUCUUUUAGCACUAUCCUAGCUCCUUCCUAAUUGUUAGGAAUAAAUCCUGAGACAAUUGCAAACUGCCUUGCCUUUUUUCAGGACUCAGUAAAUCAGGUUGGAUGGCAUAUACACAUAAAUGCCAUUCCCCUUUGCUGAAAAAUAGCCAGUAGGAGCUGAAAAUAAGUUUGACUUUUCUCCCACUAUAGAGUUGAAGCCCAAAUUGAAGAAAAAAUAAGUAGGGCCUUCUCAUUACAUAUGUUUUUGGAGAAUCCAGGGAACUGUCUAUAGCUCUCUUUAGAGUAUAUAGAAGCAGGGGCAACAGAACUCUGUUUGUCUCCCAAUUUACUGUUUGGGACCAUUCUCAUUCUUUCCAGCCUUAUUUUAAGAGUCAGGCCCUAUUUUCUCUUUCCCUAGAGUUGCUAUUAGAUAAAACACCUGAAAAGACCUCUUCUUGCCUAUGUUUUCCUUAUUUUCACUCCUGGUCUUUAAAGCUGUGUCCCAAUCCAGCUCUUCUGAAUUGAGCAUUCUCCCCAACUUUGGAAGGUACCUCAAUUUGAAGUGUUUCAAUUCGCAUUCACAUUUAUAAUGUGAAUCAUGAUGUGUACACUUUGACUAUUAAUUGUUGUGGGGUUUAGUAAACUGUACAUCCAAUAAGAAAUGAAGGACAUUUGGGCUCUAAGUUCCAUCAUUAGCUAUUUUCUGAUUUUGUAUGCAUCGUUUAAUACCUGGGACCCCAUGUCUUUAUCUGCAAAAUGUAUGUAUUACUACUUAUUCUACUUCAGAAAAAUUUUACAAACAAAUUGUGUCAAUAAUGAUGAAGAUAUUUGGAAAUAUUAUGCUAUGUAAAUACAAUUAAAAUUUCCACUGCUAAUCAAUCAUUUUGCCCUAGUCUAGAAUAGAUAGAUUCCUGAAUAAAAUGUACUGGGCCAUAGAAUUAUUCCUAUAGUUGAUAUUUUCAAAAAUAUCAACUGAUUAAUAUCUCAAAAAUAUUAAUCAACAUAUGAGUUAUUUAAAUUCCUCUCAUUGUAUCCUUUAACCAUUUGAAUGGGGUUUUUAGUCACAUAGAGCGUAGAGAAAACAUUCAUAACUGCAUAAUAAGAACAAAGGAGAUUGCUAUUUGUUAUAAACAGGGAAAGUACCAGGAAGAGGGAACGGGAAGAGUAAAAUAAAACUAACACGUGUUUGUGUCUGUUAGGUACCAUUUACAAUCUAGGCAAUUUCUGUGUAUUCCACAUAAUCUCAAAAGAGAACAGAAUUAAACGACAUUAAGAAGAACAUUCAAAACACAGAAUGUGGACACUGAGGUUUCGUUCAUUUACUUGAUAUAUUUUUUUUUUCUAGGGCUGUAAAAACAAAUGAAAUAAAGAUAGAUUUAAGGUUGUUGCUCAUUCAUGACACUUAGUCACUGUAUGUUUUCCAAAAAACUAAAGAGGUUGUAAAAGAGGGAAAACAGAAAAAUGUGUUGAAUUUCCUUCAGCUGUUACUAGUCCUUUUAAUUUAAGCAUGCUCUCUUUAUUUUUAUUUUUUGUGUGUGACUUUUUUUACUCUAAUGUUUUCUAUCAUGCUCUCUUUAAAUAUUCAAUCACUCAUUUAUUCAUUCAAGAAUGCAAC